GGGUUUUGUGGCCUGCCCAACGCCAGGCUAGUGGAGCCGGAGGCUGGCGCCGCCGAGGCCGCCGCGGCCGGGGUGUGGGGAGUGCACCGCGCACGCGCGCCCGUGGGGUCGCCGGCUCCCCGCGCCCGGGCUCCGAGCGGCCGGAACCCUCGCGCCCCGCCCUGCCCGGAGCCACCCGGAGCCGCUGAGUCCCGGACCCGCUCCGCUGGCCGGGCGGGGCUAUUUUUUUCGGCCCGUGUUCUUUCAGCGGCCGGGAAGGAACAUUCUUGGCUUUCCCCGCCUGGCUGCGCCUGUUCCCGCUCCUCCCCCGCCGCGUGUUUUCCGCCCCAGUAAAGAUCGUGCCACACAAAUAAGCCUCGAAUGCCCUUUGCCAAGCGGGCGGGAGGGCACGAGUGCAGAGCCUGAGCGGGCCAUUUUCAGGGCGCGUCUCCGGAGCCGCUAAAAGUCUUGUUUUCUCCCCAAGUGGAAGGUAUAGGGGGCGGGGGCGGCGUGGGGCCGCUUCCAACUGCUACACACGCUCGAAUAGUUGUCAGUAAAAUCAAACUGACGUCAGCCCGGGGGAAAAAGGUCUCUUUUGUUCUCCUGUUCUUCCCCCUCUCCUCCCUUGCGAUCAAAGGCAAAAAACAUUUUUUUGGAGGUGGGGGAAAAGACAAAAAGGAAAAAAAAAUUGCAACGCAAAGAGAUAGCUUCCAUUAGAGCUCCUGCCCGGGCGACGGGAAUGUUUAAUGAAUGCAUCAAGUCUUUUGAUCACCCUCGCCCGGCUGGGUUCAGUAGUGCCGGAAGGUUAGUUGCAUAUCCUGUGGCUGAUCUGAAAUUCGAUCAGCAGAGGGGGCAAAGAAAAGAAAAGCAUUUUAAUGGGAAUCAAUAGAGGAUCAUAGGUCCUGGAAGGAAAUACGUGUUGAUUAAAAAUGCCAGAAGAUUAAAAAAAUGUUCACGACUGGUUAAAAAAUAAGGAGGAAAGGAAAAAGCAAGGGAGGGAGAGGGAAGAGAAGAGAGGAGGAUAGGGGGAGGAGGAGGGAAAAAAACCUCUUAGCAAUCUAUUUUCUGUGUGUGUUGCUGCCAGAGAGGCAGUCAGCAGACCAACAGUUUGUGUAAUGCUUCAAGCUACAGCGGGCAAAUUUAAAGCUGUAUGCUCAGAACAACAUAAUAAAUACUUAUUGAAAAUGCAUUUCUAUUUCUAAGCGGGGUUCACUCAUGCAUUAUACAAAACACCUAGGGCUGCAGUAGCGAGACACAGGGGACAAAUAUGGUGUACUGUGACUCAGGUUCUUAAAACUUGAGCUUUUAGCAGUUGAGAGUAAGAACAUACUUUUUUAAAGUUAAAAAAACAACAACUAGCAGCUUUGAAAGAUACCAAAGACUUAAAUUGCCCGAAACUUUACAUUAAGUCGUAACUUAAAAAAUAGUCUGAUAACUGAGGAUGAGGAGAGAGUGGGAGGGGAGUUAACCACGGUAGAUAGCAUAUUGACUGGGUUACAGAGUGGAAAAUUAUUGCCCUGUAGGUAGGCAAAGUGAUCAACAGUGUGAUAAAAUGGUUGAAGGUUUUAUGAAUAUCCAUCUACUACAGUAGGAAAGGAAAGGCGGCUUUUAAAAACCCACUCUGACACAAAAACACAGCUAUACAUCCUAUUUCUAUGGCUUUUUGGAAAAGAAUCAAUAGCGUUUACAUUUUUACACAUUAAACAAAGAAAGUUCCUUCAGUAUUGUGAAGACAUCCAGAAGGCAAUGAGAUCUCCCAUCCAGGAGAUCUUCAGUCAUGCUGUCCAGUGGAUCCUCCUCGAGUCUGAGCUGCAGCUGAGGUGAUGUUAAAUGACUUCCAAUACUGGCUUCUAAGAGUCUUGCUGUCUCUUGGAAUGAUGGCUCUUGGGACACUCCCUCCCAGGACCCAGCUGUAAUCUUCAAGAAUGAAUUGUGUGUAGGCCAUGUUGUUUCUCCUCUGUGAUGCUUGCUUGCCAUCCCUGCCUUGGAGCCAGCCCAUUAUGGACUGAAACCUCUACAAACUAGCUGGGUCUUCUGGCUUGGACCCGGCUUGGAGAGGAUCCCAGGAAAAAGCACAGAGUGAGUCGAAGCACUGGCCAGAUGGCGACCCUGUGAGCUCUCUGAUUCUCCUUUCUUUAUCUGUAAAAUGAGGGGCUCCCGUCCCCCAUAGCACUGCAAAUCUCUCUCGCUCUUUUUUUUUUGGUACUGGGGAGUGAACUUGGGACCUUGUGCUUGCGAGGCAGGCAGCAGAACCACUGAGCUAAAUUCCCAGCCCUAGCACUGCAAGCCUCAAACUUCACCUUUGGAUCCAAUCCCAUUCUUUUCAAUAAUGUCACCUUUGCUUACUUUUAUAAACACAUAGGAGCAAGUGAUACUUGCUUACUAACUUAAUUAAAAAAAACAAAACAAAAAAAGAACCAUCUCGGUCUCUACAGGUUCUGAAAAACAGCCUUCCAGACCCUGAACACCCCAAGGCGGGGCUUGUGUGCCCAAGCGGCUGGAGUCCCUGGCCUUGGAAGGGUCAGGUAGAACUGCUCUGCGGCGCCCUCUGGUGGCCACUCUCCGGCGUGGUCAUCGUGCACUGAGGGUUCUCCUUGGGCAUGGUGAGGGAGGACAUAUCUGAGGAAGAGAAUUAUUCUGAAAAAUGUGUAUCUGGUAUUUCAAAUGGAGACAUGGAAAAUGACAUCUUUCUAUUCUGGAAGUAGCUCUAUUAGUGUCCAGUGAUGAAGAUGCCAGAAAAAAGUGGCCCAUUCAUUAUAUUUAUGUUGUAUGAUAUUGUACCUCAGAGGGUGAAGUCAAUGAGAAGAAUAAGUAAUUGAAACAAGCAUUUUCCUUCCCUUGGCAGAAAUUCAGUCAUUAGCAAUAUACCUAUUUUACAAGGGGCGAUUAGAUAAAUUAGAGAUUAAAGAAAGUGGAACAGAUGUUUUUCCUGUGAUAAGCAUUAUUCUAUUAAAAAAAACUCCAGAGAGUUAGAAUCUGAGCAGGAAACAUGAAUGCACACUUUUUUUUGGGUGCUUUUACACCAAAGAAAUAGGCAGGAAGGCAAAGAAAUAGAAGGGAGAGAAAGCUGACCGGCAGUGUCAUCCCUGGACAUCGCGGUGACCCACAGUGACAUAACUAGCAGCAGUCCCUUCCGGCCGUGUUGGGAGCAAGCUGGCUUCCUGUGCACUCUGCUCCAGGUGCUUCUUGGACCUCACCUUUAAUCCCUUCAGGAGCAGAAUAGAGGCAGCCAUUGUUCUCUGUUUCAGAUAAGAGAGGAAGGGGAACUCCAGGGCUGAUGAUUUGAGAUGCAGGCCUGGUUCUCAAUCAGCUUGCAGUGUCGCCUGGUAGCUUGUUAGAAAUGCAGAUUCUUGGCCCUGCCCCAGACCUCCUGAAUCAGAAAGCUGGUUGUGGGACACAGCAAUGUGAGUCUCACCCAGCCUUGGGGGAGUCUGAUGCUGCUAAAGAUGGAGAACUGUGGAGUGCAUAGGAAUCUUCUGGGAAGCCCAAAUGACAGAAUUGCAGAUGCUUGGACCCUGGCCUCAGAGACUGGGUGGAAUUGGUCGGGUGGGGUGCAAGCGAUUCUGCUGUGCAGCCUGGUGCCAGUGUCAGAACCUCUAGGGAAAAGAAAGGCUGGUGGGACCGGAACUCAGGUAUGUCUCGUCUCCUCCUCAGUCCUCUGCUUGGACCCACCACCUGGCUGCCUCAGUAGGUCACAGCCUGCCUUUGCGGUGAAGAGAAAGAGGAAGACGUGUGCCUGACUUCACCCAGACUGCACAAGGGGCCAGUGCUUCCUCAUGGACCUGGCGUGUGUCCUCCCCCAAACCUAGGUUGGGUCCAGAAUAGUUCUGUCACCCAGUAUGGCCUCAUGACUCACCAGGACUUGGCUGCCUAUCUUCUGGGGAGAUUUUAUUUUCCUCUAAGAGAGAGCUCCAAGGAAAUGCCACAUACUAACUGUAUGCUGUCUGGUCUUUCUCCAAACUUGGCUGGGAGUGAUGCCCGAACUCUGUACUUGCUGGCUCUGUGGUGAACCCACCUGAGUGAGGCAGGGGAGUGAGGUGGAAAAGUGGGUCUCAGUGGAGUGGCUGAGGCUACAGAGGCCACUCUGCCGGUGGAGGAGGGGUCACCUUCCUUCACGGGUUGGAAACCCAACCCAAGCAGCCAGACACCUCCUAGAGAACACAUCUGAGUCCCACCCUCUCUUAAGGCUGCACUUCCCAUUCUGUCAGGUUCCCUGACCCCCAGGACUCUGGGUCACUGUCAUCUCACCCAUCAACUUGCCUGUUCCACCUGCCUGCUACUUCCAAGUCUGUUUUACUUUAUGGUUGUUUGUGGUUGUUAGGAUAGAAAGAGGCUUUCAAGAGACAAGCGAGGAAACAGUGACCCCAGAAGGAGCAAGUCCUAAGGUUCAGUAGGUACCAGGAAGGUGAAGGUUGGAUUUCUCUAGAGUCGAGAUUCCCAGAACCAGACUAGGCCCCUAACCCUCUGCUUCCUUUGGGGUCUGAAUUUUCUGGGAACUGUACUGUUGGCUGAUUCUGUGUGUCUUCAACUUUUGAUGCCUGGAAGUAGUUUACCCAGAUCAGAUGUGCCUUUUCACUAUUACAGGUGCUUCUUCAGGGUCUCCCUCCCACACAGGAAGGAACAUCCAUUUCUCUGGGGGGUCUGUGUAGACAGCAAACUGUCACUGGAGAGAACUGUUAAUAAUAAUGGCAACAAUACUGUUUAUUCAGUUGUUUGUUCAACCAUUUAUAAUUUGACAAAUGUGUAUUGCAUGUCUGCUGUGUCAGACACCAGGUCCAAUGAGUUAGUGGGUAAUUAAAGUACAAUUUACAGCAUUGUCUGAAAAUAGGUCAUUAUGAAAUCAUUGAGAAAAGCUCCCAAUCCAGGAAUGGGGACACUGGGACUGUGCUAGGAGGGCAUAAUGGGAGAGUGUUUCAGAUGACAAGGAGGGAGAGGACUGUAAGAGCAGGACAGAGGGCUGUGAGAUAUGAGGAAAUGGUAUGGAGAGGAGCCCAUAGUGCAAUAUCAUUGCGGCAGGCAGGGAGUAGGAGAGAAGAAGGCCAAAAGAGGGGCACCUUGUGCUCUAUUGUACUUUACUCUGAGAACAGAGGAGCCAUUCAAGGAGUUAGAAGAGGGGAGGGGCCACACAAACAGGCAGAGUGAAGAAUAAAUUGAACCUGCAUGCAUCCAUCAUCCAAUUUUGAUACUAAUUCAUAGCCAACUUUAUCUCUUCUCUCACUCUUCCUUCCUUCACUUAAAUUAGAGACGCUUUUUGUGAGAAAGUAGAGUUUCAGUUGAUUUGCUUUGGGAUCCACCCCAAGGGGAUUGGUAGAGCACACUUGUAGGUGUUUUUGGAUGGGUCACAGAGGCAUGGCCUCGGGGUCCAUUUCUGGUCCCUUAUUCGCUCUGCUCUAGGAUUGUUCCCCUGCUCUGCUUCCCACUCUCCAUAUGCUAAACUGCUUUGCUCUACCCUAUCCUUCUGCCAUGAUGUUCUUGCCUUGGAGCCAGCUGACUAUGGACUGAAUUCUCUCAAACCAUAAGCUAAAUUAAUCCUUUUUUCCCUUUUAAAUCGUGAGUGUUGGGUACUGUGUCCAGCAAUAGGAAAGCUAAAAAAUUCCUUGAUUUAUGAUGGGGUUACUUCUUGAUAAACUUAUUGUGGUUCAAAAUAUCAUGAGUCAAAAAUGCAUUCAGUACACCUAACCUAGCAAAUAUAAGUUGACUGAAUCUGUCCUAAAUGUGUUCAGAACACUUACAUUACCUACAUUUGGGCAAAAUCCCCCACAAAAAGCUAUUUUACAAUAAAGUGUUGAAUAUCUCAUGUAAUUUAUUGAAAACUGUACUGAAGAUGAAAAACAAAGAUUGUACAGGUACACUGUUGUGUUAUUGCAAAGUUGCACAAUUAUAAAUUUAACCAUUAUAAGUGGGGAUAUCUAUAUUUUGAAGGAAGUCUCUGAUAUUGUCACUUCUUUAAACAUUUUAAUACUUGUUUCUAAAGGAGAAGACCUUGGUAAAUAAAACAGAACCACAAUAUCAUAUCAAAAAAAAUAAGAAUUCCUAAAGAACAAACAUGUACUGAGUUCUUAAAUUUUUUCCUGAUGUUCUUAUAAUUUUUUUCACUUUGAUUGAAUCAGGAUCUAAUAAGGUCCAUAUUGGCUGUAUGUCUCUGAAGUCAUCUCUCUCUCUAUUUAUUUCUCUGUAACACAUUUGUUAAACAGGGUUUCUUUGUCCUGUAUUGCUCCUCAGAGUUUAGAUUUGCUGAUUGUAGCCUGGUGGUGUCAUUUAGCAUGUCCCUCUGUUCCCUGUAAUUAAUGUACAUGGCAGGGACGAAGAUAGGUGGAUAAAAUUCAGGGUUGAUUUUUUUUUUUUGGAUACAUAAACCUCAUAGGUAGAUCUUGGUUCAUAGCACUCUAGAGUCAGUAAUUUUCUUGGUGCCCUUGGGGCAAAAGAAUACCUAAUUUGAUUAGUCAUAUUCAAACAAUUUAAUAAGUACUUAAAUUCAAACAACUAAGUGGCCUUUUGAAAACUAAUGUAUCUAAAUUAAGUAAAAAAUGUUUUUAUUGCAUCACUAAAUAAUCGCAAUUGUUAGUUGUGCACUGAAUUACUUCUCAAACUUUGGAAGCAUAUUGAACACCAUUGUCACAAUUUGCUCUUUUGUCUUGAUCUUUGUGAGCUACCUACUCUCUCCCUGCCCAUGGCAGUGCCAUUCUACUUUCUGUGCCUAAGUAUUUGUCUGCUCCAAGUACUUAAUGUAAACAGGAUGACAUAUUUGUCUCUUUGUACAUGGCUUUUCUUUUUCACUUGAGAUGUUUUCAAGUUCAGGCAUGUUGCAGUAUGUAUUAGCACUUCAUACCUCUUUAUGGCAGAAUAAUACUCCAUUGUGUGGACAUACCACAUUGUGUGUAUCUAUUCAUCUGUCAAUGGACGUUUCAGUUGCUUCUACCAUUGGGCUACUGUGAAUCACGCUGCUGUGAACACUGAUGUACAAGCAGCUGUUUGAGUUCUUCUCUUCAGUGCUUUUGGAUAUUUAAGAAAGUACUUAUAUACCCAAGUCUGGGAAACCCAGCUUCACAGACACAUGACAUCACUGAAAUGGAUGUCACUUGCUCUAAUGGGGAGAGUCAGGAUGGCCCUGAGCUUGCAGUUUGGACAGUACUGGAAGAUUCUUUUUUUCCUUCAACAACUUAAAAUCCUCUGCACGUUCAGGUGCCUCACCUAUGAUUCCACCUGGAAAUCUCGGUUAUAUUUGAAGAGACACCUGACUUAGGGAGGGAUGAAGAGCUGGUGGCUCAGCAGGGGCCACAGUGACAGUCCAGGAAGGAUAUAGUGGUGCCCAGAGCUAAGGCAGUGAAAGGGAGAGAGGGAUUGAGUGAUGUCAAUGUUUUAUGAGCCAGAAGACCUGUCCAGAGGUGCCCAGGCCUGGCAUCAGCAGGAAAGCGGGGCAUGGCGGCUGACUAUGGUGUCUGUGUAUCAGGGAGUCAACCCAUCCCACAUGCUGAGGCUAGUACCUAGGUGUCUUUCUGUCCCCAACUCUGAUCACUUCUUGACUGCAGCUUGAUUCCUUUUUAUCAGCCAAGUGAGGUGGCACAUGCCUGUGAUCCUAGAACUCUGGGAGGCUGAGCAGGAGAAUCACAAGUUCAUGCCCAGCCUGGGAAACAUAAUGAUUUCACAAGACCCUUUCUUAAAAUAAAACAGAAGAAAGGCUGAGGAUGUAGCUCACUGUGAAGGCCCUGGUUCAAUCCCCAGUACCACACACACACAAAAUCCUUUUUGUGGCUUUAGGAGACUGGACAGUUGCACAUACCUUGCAAAUGAGCCCAUUUUUGCUUUUGCUUUGCUUUUGUUUGGCUCUGCUGCCUGGAAAAUGUCAAGUAUCAUCAGUAUCGCAGAAGUAACUUCAAUUUGGGGGUGGAAUCCUGAUUUUUUUUUUAGAAUGUUCUUGCUUACCAGUUUGAUAAAGUGAAAAUUUCUUUUAUUGCUACAGAUUUGAUGAAAAAAAAGAUCAAGUGUUUUAUCUAAUUUUCAGCAGAUAACCGAAAAUUGCCUAGAUGAUGGGUAGACAGGAAACACUUAAGCCAACAUUCCUCUUUUAUUCUGAGGGUUGUGUAAAACUGUCACUUGCCUCUGAUGACACUGUUAAAAUUGAUCACAUGACCGCAGAAAUGCUGUGAUUGAACCCAAGUGUUAAUCCUGCAUGAUGGGAUCAGUCCCCUGCUUGUGUCAUGUGUUGCUUUAUCCCAAAGUCACACUUCAAAAGCAGCACUGGCUUGUGUUGUGUGAAGGGACCUCUCCAGUAGGGAGAUACCAAGCCCAGCCUUGUGAGUGGUGGGAACCCUGCCCCUCCCUCCCUGUCUGUGGAGUGGGCACAGUGAUGCCCACAUGGCCUCCUUCGCUGGGCAGUUGUGGGUCUCAGGAAGAUCAUCUUAUGUGUAUGGGAGUUUGCAGAGCAUCAAGAGCAUUAGGCAGCAUCCUCAGUCAGGAAUCCAUGGCUGGGUGCACCCUGGGAGCUAUAGGAAAUCAGAGAAUUGGGACUCAGAUGACCAGGUCUCCCUGGGCAGCAGUCUGUGACAUGGUGUUCCCAGCGGCUCAGCUCCCUGAGCCCCUCACCCCUCCUGGUGUGAGGAGAGUUAGAGUUGGUGCUAAUAGUGUUUAUUUUAGAGUAAACACAUCCCUAUACUUCAUCAUGCUACAAAGAGAGGCUUUUAGGUUGGACUAUUCCACAAAUAUUUAUAGAGCACCUCCUAGGAGCAAGGCAUUGUUCCACUUUCUGCCAACACUAGGAGAACAAAUAGAUAUUGUUCCUGCUCAGAUGGGGCCUAUAGUGAAGGAGAGAAGGACAUAAAAAAGCAACAGCAACAGCAGAUAACCCCCACACCAAUAAAUAUGUGACUCAGAGCUGUGACAAACGCCGUGAGGGAGAAACGCGGAGUGUGAGGUGAGAUUCUAACAGGAAAAGAGGGGCUGCUUCUCUCUUCUUGGAGGAAGAAAUGGCUUUCGGGCUGAGGCCUAGCCCAGAAGGGGAGGCAGAGGCUUCUGGCAAAAGGAAUAUCUCUGUGAAGGCAGGACUGAAGGGCAGUGUAGAUGAUGAUGAACCAGAAGAGUCAGUCUGGGUGAGGUGCAGAGGACAGGCCACAGUGGCCACAGUAGACAUGGGAACCAGCUAGGAGGCUACAGCUGUCCCCAGGGAGGAGGUGGCUGUAAGUGGAGGGGCAGGGUUGGGAGAGUCUGGGCCUGCUAGACAUACAGGUGAAGGAAUGGGAGGUGUGAGGCCUUAUGACAUUGCCAGGUUUCUGCUACAUGCAGCUCAGUGUAGGAGGUCCCACUGACUGAGGGGACAUGAGCGUCCAGGGCAUUGUGUCAGUCGGCUUUCUGUCUCUGUUACAAAAUACCUGAGAAUAACCACUUAAAGGAGGAAACGUUUGUUUUGGCUCACAGUUUCAGAGGUUUCAGUCCCAAUAGCACUAUCAGCAGUGGGGCAGGUCUUCAGCACAAGAGCUUAUGGAUAACAUUUAAGAUAUAGACCAUAACAGGGACUGUACGAGUUUCCUAAGAUGCUUCUAGUUUGGAAUCUAGAAAUCUGAAACCAGGGCAUAGCAUCAUCACUUCAGUGUCUGCCUCUAUCUUCAGUGGGUUUCUGUGUCUCUCCUGGUCCUACGAGAUUAGAACACCAGUCCUGUUGGAUUAGAAGCCCACUGUCCUCCAUUAUGAGUCAUUUUAACCAAUUUUAUCUGCAGCAACCCUAUUUCCAAAUAAAGUCCCAUUUGCGGGGGACUCAGUUCAACCCAUAACAGGCACACUGUAACUUUUGUGGUGCACCUGGGCCUCUAGGUCAGAGUGACAAUGGAGGAGAUCCCUAAGGAAAGAAUGAAGAGGAGAAGGAGAGAAGGCCUCAAAAGUCAGGACUGAGAACCUGCAGAGGCCAAGGUACUUUUGGAGGAGGCAGAAAGUAAAGGGAAUGACAGAUGUUGCAACUUGUUUUCUUCUACAAAGUAGAAAGUUUCCUGUCUGAGACUUGUCAAGUUUUAAGAAUUCUGGAUUUCAGAGAUUGGCUGUAUAUUAAUACUGUUUGUCAUAACGAAUGCUUGAUAUAAUUCAGACUCUUGCUAUUUAGAAAUUUUUCAUUAAUCUUUUUAUAAAGUAAGCAUUCCUGUUUUGAUGAGAAGAAUUGAAGAAUCAACCACUCAAUGUGAUUUUUGAGUUCCUGAUUUCAUCUCUCAGUGGCACUCAUUGUCCGCCUCUCUCACUGGGGUGGUGCCUGGAAGAUAAUGAAGGAUACUAUUAUGCUAAACCAAUUGGUAACUGAGGUGCCAAGUGAAAUGAAAAUAGUUGUACACAGGCCAGGACUCAGUGAGCAACCUCCCAUGGUGUCUGCCCCAGGAGCAACUGCUUUUACAGAAUAAUGUUUGUUCAGAAUUUGGGUUGAGGUUGAGUGGGGUGUCAAGGCAUAGGGUGUGGGAACUGACACUUAGUCUGUGCGUUCAGUCCCUCACAUGUGCUGUCCCUGGGGUAGGUGAUAGGAGUCCGAUGCUGUGAAUGAGGGCUUGGAUGCACAGGAGUUUAAGGGUUUAUCCAAGUUGUGCAACAGAGCUAGGAUGUUUUUCUUCCCCAAACUUUGCCUUUAAUAUGGUUUAUUUGAAGACUGUAGAACACCUCUGCCCCCACCAGUCACAUUUAUGAGGCACAGAGGCUGACCGGGCUGUGGAACACAGCCAGAGUUUUUACUUAGCCCAGGACACGAGAAUGGGUUGGGUGUCUGGGUUUGUGUAUCAUCUGGGGGACUUUGAGAUCUUUAUCUGAAAACACCACUAAUGUGCCAGGCAUACCACUAAGCUUGCUGAAUGAAAGUCUCCUGGCUAGGAGUGUGUGGGGGAGUUAUUUUGGAAGAUAUCCCUGUGCAAUUUUGGCAUCAACCCAUUUCCCAUCGACAGUACAGUUGUUCCUUCUUAUCUGUGGUUUUCCUUUCCAUGGUGCCAGUUACCCAUGGUCAAGUGCAGAGAAAAUACUAAAGACAAAUUCCAGAAAUAAUUUGUAGGCUGGAGGUGUAACUCAGUAGCAGAGUGUUGAGGUCCUGGAUUCAAUCCCCAGCACUAUAAAAACAAACAAACAAACAACAAACAAACAAGCAGGCAAGCAAACAAGCAAACACCCCUCCCCAAUUCAUGUGUUUUAGACCAUUCACCAUUGUGUGUAGUGUGAUGAAUUCUUACAUCAUCGCUCUUCGUCCUGCCUGAAAGCUAGCUAUCAUAGUAUCAGAGGGCUACUGUUCAAGUGAUCCUUAUUUUAUGAAUUUGACUCUCAUAGCAUCACAGUGCUUAUGUUCCUUCCCCUCCCUCAAAAGCUCUGUUCCUUGGGAAACCCUUUAGUCCCAGCUGAGUUGGGACCAUUGGUCACUACAAUCUUAGCACCAAUCAGAGGUGGUUGCCUUCCCUCAAGUCACACUGCAUGGGCAAAGAGGGGCAGCUCUCUCAGAAGGCAUCCUUUCUGUGGGAUGACAAUGCUCUUGAGUCACCACUGAAGCCAAGCUUUGUAAAUUUCACCUCUCAUCUAGCUGGGUUUUCUCUGAGACCCCUGGAUACAUAUGCUCUGCAUUUGCAAAAUCAGUGACCAGAGCUAAAGUACAAAUGGUGAACAGGGAACAUGGUGGAGCUUGGAGCCUCUUGCAGAAGCAGGCCUCCCCAUUGGGUGGGCCAGCCAGGGCUUCCUCUUGUUUUAUAAGCAGACAGAGUGAGGCACUGAGCUUCUAGAGUCCAGAUUCUAACUGUAACAGGAGCUGAGGCAGGUUAAUGAUGCCCCUAGUAGAGAUUCCCUGUUCCAUGCAAAGAAAUACAGAGCUACCCACAAGCAAUCUAUGUACAGAAUUAAGCUCCUGAAAUUGUGCUAAAUUAUUUGAUUUAAAUACUGGUCUAUCUAGGGAUGAAGACCUAGGCAAAGUAGAUUCCCAUUAAUAAUGAAUGAUUUGCUGUAUUCUAAUCCUGUUAAGCAUACAGUUCCUCUGCAAAUGUAUUAGUGGCGAUGUGUGUUUGUGAAUUAAGCCCUUGGUGUAUCAGGUUUAUGAGCCUAAUUGUCUAUUCAAAAGGCUAUCACUUCAUCACCUCAUGAAAAUUAAAAAGGUCCCUUUUGUUGGAGUGUUUUGUUAAUCCUCUGAAUGACAUUUUCUCUUUCCUUCUCAUUUUCUUUUUAUUGAGCUUUAUUAUGAUUUAAAUGCAACUGAAGCAAAUCCUGCCAUUACACUGAAAUUGAUUAUUAAAAUAAUACUGAUAAUUAUACAUAGGUACUAGAAAAUAACACAUGUGGUGCGUUCACAUGGAGAUUAAACAUCCCCUCCCAUUAUACUGAAAAAGAUGCAGGGGACUAAAAAUAGGAGAACAGUAUAAUAUAUCUCUAAAAUGGGUUAAAGAUUUAGUGACUGCUCUACCUCAAGGAAGUUUGAGUGAUUUCUACUAAAAUUAUCAUCUGGAUCCAAAAAUGACAUCUAAUGAGAAGGUAUGAGCAAUUCAUCUGAAGAUAUCUUAAUAUUAGGCUCUUAAAUGGUUGAAGGACUUUCUUAUUUAGCUCCUUUAUUCAUUUUUUCCCAACUAUGUUUUUCUGUUCUUUGAAAGAAAAAAAACCCUUUUAGAUGAAAAAAUUUCAGUGCUUGUACUCUGUAGUGAAGUAGCACUCAGGGGAAAGUUUUAGCUAAAUUCUGCUUGGCUACAUUUGAACAACAAAAGAAUUCCUCUUUUUUUGGAAGUUAAAAAAUAACCUUUUCUUUUGGUAUGUGUUUAGAAAACUCAAAGGUACCUUUGUUUUUAAACUUCAACUGACUAAGGACUUAAACUUUUGUUUGAAGUAAUUUGCUUUUGAAAAAGCCAAGUUUGGGGAGGUGAGAAAGUGCAUGCUCAGCGCUCUGCCAAGCACUCUAUGCGGGUCUCCCUCUUGCUGCUAAGGAAUGUGCAGAGUCUAUGCCUGAAUGCUUGUAGCAGCAGGCAGAGGGCCCGGUGACCACCUAGACACUGAGCACAUAUAUGACACUUGAGACACUUUAGGAAGAGAUAGGGCUGGUUAGUGCCUUAUUGCUGCUGUAACAAAUUGUCAGUGGUUUAAUACACCACCAGUGUGUUAUCUCAUACCACAAUAUGGCUGGGAUCCUUUCUGGAAGUUCUGGAAAGUAGCUGUUUCCAACUCACUGCAGGAUUUGGUUCCAUGCAGUUGUUGUACUGGAGUCCAUACAUCCUCCUUGGCUGUCAGCUAGGAGCUUCUCUUGGCUCCUAGGGACCUUACUCUGGUCUCUGCAUAUGGCCCUUAUGCCUCAGAACCAGAAGGCUGAGUCCUUCUCACCCUGGGAAUCACUCUGAACUUGCCCUUCUUGUAUCUUACCUGUCUGUCUUCCUGCUACAUCCAGAGACUUCAGCUGGCAAAAGUCUAUAUCCUUACUGACAUCUGUAGAAUGUUGUUUUGCAGCAUAAUGUGACACCAGAAGUUUCUGGAAUUAGGGUAUGGACAUUUUUCUGGACUAGAGAGAAUUACUGUUUCUACCACAGCCUGCAAGAGACUCUUGUUCUAGUCUGUUAGAAUGGAGUCCUGUUUAAAGUGACAUUGUCACAGGAAGGACUUUAUAGUUACUUCUACCAUUUUCCAUGAGCGGAACUCAAGUCAUAGUUUCUACCUGCACUCAGGGAGGGGAUUCCACAAGGAUGUGGGUCAUGGGGGUCACCCUGUGGUGUGUCUACCACAGAGUGUUAGCCUGUAGCUGCUUGGUAUUAGGUUAUUGGUUGCCUCACAGUUGUUGGGCCAGGUGGCCAUUAAGGCUUGGUUACAGUGAGGGAUGGAGGAAAGGAGGGGAGGGAGGCUUUCAUCCAGUCUUUCCAGUGUAUUUUUCCCCCACUGCAGUUGAUCCCAGGUAGCUUUCUUUUGUCUGACUCUUCUGUCUCUUAUUACUAUCCACCUCCACUCACCCCUGCGUAUGGAAUCUGCUGGAAAUGUUGAGAUUUUUCCUCGGAGUUGUCUGGCAAGGUUUUCCUUUUACCUGGACAAUCUGUUAUUUCAGGCUGAGAAAACAGACCUGAGGCUUGGGUGUGGGGACGCGUUGAUGCCUGAGGUUGCUCUGGAGGACUAACAGGGCCUGAGCACAGGACUCGCUCUUGGCCCUCCCAUCUGACAGGCAAGAGCUAGGUGACUGGGGUGCUGAGGAGAUGAGAGAGGCCGCAUAGCGCCUCCUAGAGGGGAGCACCUGAGGUGGGCAUCUAAAGCCACAGAGGGACAGUGUUCUGAUUGUCCCCAGACUCGUUCUUCCUGGCUGUACUUCUCAACUCCCCCCUCUCCAUUUCUUCAAGAACCAUUUGCAAAUUGAGACAUUUCCUACUGAUAUUCCAGGCACUGACACAGAUCUCUUCUUCGCCUGUGGAAUGAGCCUGGCUUAGUUACUGGAAACUUUGCCUCUUUGUUAGGUGGGGGUUUAUCAUCACCACAGCGAGGAGAAGCACAAAAUGCCAUUAACAUGAGAGCACAAACGUGUUUCCUGGAUUUAUAUUCACCAACAAAACAUAAUUAUGUUUCUCUCCAAAAUAGUGAUACUAUUUGGUAUCUUUUCUGAAAUAGACUGCUUUGCAUUUUGUCUUAUCUAGAAAACAGCCAGUUUAGCACAGUAGUUCUCAGCAAAAAAUAUUCUGUCUCCCAUGCCAUUUACUUAGUCUAAAUGAUCUAUUUUAUUUCAGCUCACUGGGAGUUUUGGAUUGUGCCUCUGCUGUAUAUGUGUGUAUGUUUAUAGGUGGCAAUCUUUGUGAUAGGUAGGAGUCCAGAUAUUGACCCUAAAUGAAUUUUAUAACAUAUUAAAAUGUUGCCCCUAUCCAUUGUCACUUUUGUAUAGAGAAGAGAUAUUCCACAGGAGUAGCUCUCAUUUUGUGUUUCAAUUUAAAAUUCAAUUCAGUUCACAUAGUUGCAGUUUAGUAGUUCUGCAAACGUUUUUCCAUCUCAAAUAAGACAGAAAUCCACACUUCUUCCAUAUGUGGAAAAGAAAAGAGAAACACACACACUCUGUCUGUUCUGGGUGUAAGUUCUGCUAGCAUCAUGAACUUGCUAGCGAUCAAUCUCACAGGUCUAAUUUAAGCUGCAACUCAAAGAUAGAAACUGUAAAAUGUAAUAUGACUCUCCUGGCGCAAUGGUUUUUUCGGGGAGAUUAAUUCUGAGAUGUAUUUAACAAGAUUGAAGUAUCAGAGAUUUUGAUAAGUAAGAAUAAGAAUGCUAAAAGGACCCUUUAAUAAAUGAAGACAUUUCAGUGUCUUAUUUUGGUCCUCUGACAGAGCCAUUAUAUCUAAAUGUCUAAUCUCUUACCUUCAUUACUACAUCACUCUUUAGAGAGACUGUCUUAUGUUAUUUAGAAAUCCUGAACAUUAAGAUUCAAUAUUGUCCCUGUAGCUGGUCCUACAUGUUUCUGUCUCUUGCUGUAAAGACCAGGACAUGGAAGAGAAACUCGAAUGGGCCCAUGGUGACUUCUGCCCAAGAUCUCAAUGUUCCUGGAUAAACACAGUACAGAGUAUUGUGUAUGUAUUGUGCAUGUAUUUGCUGUUCAGUGUCUACUGAAAUGCAAUUGCUGGCUUAUGAGUAAAUAGCCAGUUGCCCCCUUAGCAUAGUGUGGAAUUGAUCUCGGCAAAGGGGCUCCUUGGGGUGCCCAGCUGCCCCAUGCAUGUUGCCUAAUGUCCUAGGCUCUGCAGAACUUUCAAAAAAUUAACACACUCACCAAAUAUGUUUUUCUUGCUCAUUAACUUGAUAAAGCUCACUGGUUUUUUAGAAUCACAGUAGCAAGUUAUAAAUGAUGUAUGAAAUGAAAAAUCUUUUCUCACCCAAUGAGCAGGAAGAGAGCACUGACAAUGCUUUGUCACUGCUGCUGCUGCUGUUUGCAAUGACAUCAAGUCAUGGAGUGGGCCCAGGACCAGGGAUGACCUUGGAAGGAGUCAGGGGUGACCAGGCAAUAAGUUCUCAGGCAGACCCUUGAAGUCCCGGGGAUUCCCUCUUCUCGCAUGCAUGGUGCUGGAAAGCUGUAGACAAGAUGAAAGAGUGCAGCAAGGGAGGUGGUGGCCUGCUCUCUGGGGACAGUGUGGCCUGGCUCCAGUUUGGGAGUCAGAAUGUUCCUCUUGCGCCUGUUGAUGUUUGAAGCCUUCCCUUUGCAUUUGGCUUAGCUUGUGUUACAAACUUAAUAGAUUAGCAAAUAUUUGCGUGCUCAUAUACCCCAAACUAGGCCAGCAUUGUAAGGACAAAAUAAGCACAAGCAUAGUAUGUAAACCAUAGAAACUCAGCCUUUGAUGUCAAAAUGCCUGCAUGCUAGUCACGUGACACACUACAGAAUGUACUAAAUCAACAUUUUCCCCGAGUAGAGUUAUUUUAUUUUAUUAUAUUUAUUUAUUUAUUUUUGAGGUGCUAGAAACAGAAACCAGGGCCUCAACCAUGGUGUGCAAGUGCUCACUGCUGAGCACUCCCAUGGGAGUGCACUCCCAUCCUCUUAUUUGUAUUCUUAUUGUUGCCCUUAUAUUAUCACGAUGCUUCAUACAUCAUAAUUGAAAAUAUAUUACUGCACAUUUACCUACUUUUGUAAUUAAUACUUAGUCAUUGUUUUUUAAAAAACGAGAAGACUAACAGUGAGAAAGGACAGCUUGCACUGGAUCUGUCCGAUGAGAAUGGGUCAGUAUUAACUGGACUAUUGUAUAGACCGGAGUGUCUAAACCUGGCCUGUAUCUGCUCUGUACCUAAUGUCUAUAAGGUGUGACUAAAAAAUACAGUGAAUGUUUAAAUUAAAAAAAAAUAUAGUAAAAGACACACUGCCAUUAAUUGUCCUCAAAGUACUCCCCCAUGUUUCAAACACUUAUCCCAUUGUUCCUGCCACUUUCUGAAGCAGUUCUCUUUCAUGUCCUUAGUUGUGCUGCUCUGACAUCCUUAUUGUCCUGAAUCAGUUCAAAACAUUUACUUUCCCUGGUCAUUUUGAUUUUGGAGAAAAGAGUAGUCACACAGUACCAGAUCUGGUGAAUAAGGUGGAUAAGGACACACAGUACUGUUUUUAUAAGCCUGCCUUUCCCUUAGAUGACACUUGGCAGUGGCAUUCACUAUAUUUUGUUCACACCUUGUAAAGACACUCAGGACUUCCAAACUGCUUCAGAAAAUGGCAAGAAUGACGGGAUAGUGUGUUGGAAGUAAGGGGAAAUAUUUAGAAGGGGAUCAAUGACAAUUAUUUUUUACUGUAAUAAAUUAAAAAUAUUUAACUUUUACCAUAUAUUUUGAGCAUACCUCACAGACCAGAGUGCCAACUUACUGAUUUCAAAUGUGUAUGUGAGCUAGGAAGGGAUAUUAUGAUUUGAAAGUUGUGGAUGAGCAUGGACUUUUAACAGGGAGUCUGAUGAAAGAAUUUGAAUGUCUACUGGCGCCAGGCUCUGAGAAUCAACUCUAGCUGUCUUAGCUGCUCCUGGGACUGGUUGUUGUGUCCUGGGUGGGGCAGUGCUCUGACCUCAGUCAGGAUGGGAGGCUGUCUUCACUCCAUGUUUCCAUGAUUGUUAAAGUCCUCCUGAGUGACAUAGGUUUUCUUAUUUAUUUAGUGUAAUCAGAUGACAGUCACAUCAUACAGAUCUUUGGGUCUUUCUCUAAUUUUGGAUGGCUUGGCGUGACUUUGGUCUGCAGUUGUCAAUUUUAAAAUCCAACUGCAAGAGGCGGUGUUGUCUCCAAACUUGAGUGUCUCAGUUUUGUCCCUGUUACCCUCUGCUGCAUAAUAAUUGUUGUUGCACACCCUCUGUGCUGUACUAGAGUAGACAAGUUUAUAGUAUCACUUCAGAAAUCUCAAUAGGCACAAGCAGAAGGAUACUAGUGACUUGAUGAACAGUAACUAUGGGUUUUAAGUUUGGCUUUGGUAUGAGUUUAGGGUGAAUUUCUGGGAGAUUAUCUUUACUCAUUUAGUUCAGCCAUUUUAACAAUAGCCAUCUAAUGGCUCAAUGUUGCUUGAAUAUAAAUGAGUGUCUUACUGGGGGAGCACUGAACUGCCUCUAAGGUGGAAAUGACUGGGGUUAUGACUUGGUUAGUCUGACCUUUCAUCUGGCUUCACAGUUGGCAUGUAUUGCUACAUCAUUAGGAGUUUCCUGUGAUUCUGUCUUGAAUCUCAUGGAUUGGAAAGGUAGCUAAAAAAAGAUUCUGACUGUCUGUCAAGGUUGAUUUUGGUGGAGACUAUAUGUAUUUAUGUUUUCUGAUUCUUCUCAAUAUAAACGUCAAUAGAUAAAAAGCCUCCUAUGGCUUUUAUAAGCGAUGUAAACUAAAAAAUAUUAUAGUAUAUGGUAAACUUCCCAUAGAAGACACUGGCUACUCUGUAAAUACUAGGAAAACAUUAAUCUUGGAAAUUUGGUAUGGCUGUAUUUCUAGAAGAUAGAACUAACUCAUUUUUAUAGUACAUAAAUAACUUUAUUAUUAUUAACCAUUUUCUCAAUGCUUUGGAGCCAGUUCCAAGAUUAACAAAUGGCAGUCUCAAUUCGUCUAGCUGUUUAUAUAAUUACCACCUAUGAAGUAAAAUUUUUAGACAAUAAAAGAGCAGACAGUCUCUAAGAUGAAGUCACCCUAGACACCAGAGAAGACACAUGCAGCUUUGAAAUACUGUUUGCAUUAUGCCAAGGAUUACAGGAUGUUGAGUCCGCAGUAGGAAUUUGGAGGCAAAGAUAGAUACAAUAGUCUUGAUGUUAGGAGGUUAAACGCUUAAUAGAAGUGUGUGGACCUUGCUUUAAGACCGCAAGAAAAGUGGGAAUUGAACAUGACUAUAAAGGUGUAUAGAUUUGGCAGCAUGAAUAUAAGACAAAGAUGAUUUGCCUGCUACAGAAAGCUCUCAGUCUGGGCAUAGAUGUAUAACUAACAAUGUUUGCAAUGUCCAGAUGCCUCCUGCUCCCUGGAUCGGGCAGGUUUUUGGUUUUAUUUUCUCUUCAGAGAAAUUAUGAAAGAAGAUGGUUUGGUGUCUCACUCAUCAUUACAUGGAAUUUGCUCCAGAAAGCACAUUGGGUUUUUCUGUUUACAUAUCUCAACAAACUCAGCCUCUGAGGAAAUACACGGAGAGCCAGCCAGAAAGAUGUGGAAGUGAAGAGGUGAACUAUUCACUUCAAGGCAGCCUUGCCUCUUGGCCCGAAUUGACAAGAUGCUGCCUGUGUGCAUGUUGGAGUUAGUUGGAAAGUUAGCUCAGUGCAGAACGCCCUGUCAUCAAAGGGGACAUUGCCCCUUAAAUUUUGAGAGUACCAGACACACAGCCCACCUAAUAGUAAUGCUAACAGGGGAUCAGAUGCACAUGCAUAUUUAUGACACUCACCUUGUGUUUCUACAGCCUUUCUUCCAGGAACUCAAAAGCUUCAUAAAUGGUACCUCAGGGACUGUGCCAGGGAGUUGAAAGAGAUCACCUGUUUGCUCUUUGACUCAGGGCAGGUUGUGUGGAUUUUCGGAGCCUCCCAGCCCCUCCUGUUCUGCAGUCCCCGGGAGGAGAGACUCACAAACCUCCUACUGGUAGUCCAUCUAAUCAUGAAAUUCCUCCUCUUCCUUGGAAGCCUGUUGUUUUUCUCUCAGAAGAGGCUUUAAUAGCCUGAUCACAACUUAUGCCAGUGGACUGUUCUAAAUUUACCCCAGCAUUCUUUCUUAAAGCCUGCGAAGUAUCUUACUCAGCCCCGACUCUUGGGACUGUCUGGUUGAUUUCCUUGCUUUCCUCUACCCUGCAUAUGGGUGUUUAAGAAUGUGGUAUUUGGGGUCAAAUAGACAUCAGUCCAAGUGAACUUCAACUCCAGUAUAUCCUGGCUGUGAUUUGAGGCAAAUAACCUGCCUGGCCUUGUUAUGGUUUGGUUUCCUAUCUCUAAAAUGGGAAUAAUACUGUACAUGUUUUAAUCCUUGGGUUGUUAUGAGGAUUCAAUGAGAUGAUACAGACUUUGUCAAGUACAGCGUCUGGCAUAUGGAGCUGUUUCCCUGCUACAUUGCUUUAAGAUACAGAGUUCCCUAUAUUCUGAAACAGACAUGUUUUUGAGAAGCUGUGUAAGAGUGCCAGCUUGGUGAAGGCAGGGCUGGGAGGUGGGUCGUUUGUGGUUGGCAACUGUUUUGAUGGAUCUUGAUUUCUUUCCUUGUGGUCAAUGCUCAUGCCAUACUGACUGUCAGAUGUUUACAAAUGAAUGAAUUGUAAGUCUGGCUGGGAGCCAGUUAAAAGAAUAUGUAAUCACCUUGAGCACAUCCUGCUACACAUGCAAGAAACCCAUCUCAAAAAGACAAACACUGUGAUUUCACUUACAAGAGCUACAUGGAGUACUCAGAGUUAGGGACAGAAAGAAUAGUUUACCAGGGUCUGGGGCAGGGAAAUGGAGAGGCAUUGUCUAACAGGGGCAGAGUUCCAGUUUGGGAAGAUAAAAGGUUCAGGACAUAGAUGGUGGUGAUGGCUGUGUUUAAUGACCACAGAAGUGUACAUGCUUAAAAUGCUCAGUUUUGUUAUACUUUCUUUACAACAAUAACAAAAGAAUACAUGAUGAGUAAUUUUGUGAUGAGAAACUUCUUUGAUACCACAAACAAUUAGCCUUUUAGUUUCACUGUGGCGUAUUUCCUACAUAUCAGGCAAUUCAUUCAUCACAAAUAUAUUCCAUACUUGCUUUAUACUGGGUAUUUUGGGGGAUUGUAGAAGAUGGUCUCUAAGUAAUACACUGUAUGCUCCUCAGGACACAUCAUGCAGGCAGGGAAAUGACUGAGAUUGUAGAUGAGAGAGGUCUGUGAGUGGAGGCCAGGAGAAAAGGGAGGACAUUCAAGGUAGGAUAAAGGGCUGGCCCCGAGGCAAUUUGAGUCACUGGAAAGGGUGAAAUGAUUGAGUUAAAAAUUGGGACUAUUAGAGACUUACAUGGAGCCUUGAACACCAGGCAAAAAGGCUUUAGAAUUGAAUCAGCAUGGAGCCAAUUUUGAAAAGAGACAAUAAACAGCAUUCAUGAAACAUUCCUCAGUGGCAAGACCUGGUUUUCAGAGAAGGGAGCUCAGUUCGGGGUGGCUUAUGUGUUUCCCUCUCUGUGGCUGCUGCUUUCUUCAGGGCUAUGCAGCUCUUUCUACAUAGAUGGCCCUACCCUGAUGUGGAUUUCCAGCUCCCCAAGUACGUGCUGAGUAUGUCUAAAACUCUUCCCAAACCAUGCUUCCUCCCAACUUCCAAGUUUCUGUUUUGGCAACACGCUCUAGACACACACAAAAUACUAACGUUUCUUUGCCCCAUGUCUCUCCCUCAAUCUCUGUACUGUAGAUAUUAAAUCAUUUUCUUUUUUCUUUUGGAUUAAAUUUUUUUUCUUUUGACAAAGGCCUGAUGAGGUGCUCCAGUGUUAUGGAAACUAGGGAGAAUAAGAACUUAAAAGGAGCCAGUGGAUUUGGCAAUGAGGUGAUCACUGGCAGCUCUUGAAAGUGUUUUCAGUACAGUGAUAGGAGUCUCUGUGAGACCAUAAAUGGCUGCAUAGGAACUUGCUAAGUGGCCUGUGGCUGAGAGGGGUAUGGCACCUCACAUGAGUCAUUUCUGAUAGGAUGUUUUUUCUUUGCAAGGACAAAAACCUGAAAAGAAUCUUUUCAUCAAAGGUUAUCUGGCUCCACUAUAACCUUGCUUCUCUCAUUCCUCUGUGUUCCCUAGAUGGGGACAAUGGCAGGUAGACAGGAAUACUCCAUCCUCCCAACCUGUCCACAGUACAGUAGCACACACCUGAGCUUCACUGCCUCCUGGAGAAGCCUGAGCCACCUGUUGUACGAUGUGCCCUGUAAGGGCUGGCAUGAUGCAGGGGGUGGACGUGCAGAGCCAUGCAAUUUCUCUGUUCCCCAAUGCUUUUAUCCAGAUUAUUUGCCUUCUUGAAUUAAAUAAUUGAUUAACUUUGAAGCAUUAUAUGGAAUU
rnacentral:lncRNA from 1 species